CAAGAUAUCACACCUUUGAUUAUUAAAGUUGUGAUGAUCAGACACUUUUGAAGACAAAGACAAAGCCGUGAGACUAAAUCGUGAUUGGCCUAAAGUCAACCACCAGAGAAAAGGCUACAUAGCCUGCAACUAAUUUCACUCACCCACUUAUUUGUCUAAUAUUAAAAUCCAUCCAUAGUAAUCAAACUGCUUAUUCCUUCCUUUUUUAUUCUGAAAAAAGUUAAGGUGAAAAACAAAUCAGAUCUAAUGAGUUGUAAGCUGUGAUAAGCAUGAUCACUCUGAUUCCCCGCCAGCAUUAACAGCUACAUAUCUUCAAAAUGAUAUAAUUCAACGCUUCAAGCCCCACCAAAGGCAGAGUUGCUCCUGGAGAAUGGAGAUCCAAGAGAUUAGCCUAAAACCUUCCUGUCGGUUAAUAGUGAUUAUGCAAGUGGCUAGUCUUGGGAUCACUGAAGUAAGGAACUCGACAAACCUUGAAGGAAAAACCACACAUUGGUUCAUACAUAUUGCAAAAAAGUGGCAAAUUCAAUGCACUGGAUGAAGAACGUGGCAAAAAUAGGGUUGAUUUUUUAGUUCUUCGUUCACUAAUGGGUGACUAGUACAUAUUAGCACCGAUUCACGGGAACUAAGUGCAUACAUGGUUAAUGAUGAUGUUGCAUUGUGAAGGAACAAUUUAACAUAGAUGUUGAAUGUCGUGUUAAUAAGUUCUAGUUUAUUCUAUAAA